UAAGUACUCCCUCCGUCCAACAAAAGUUGUCUUAAGUUUGUCAAAAUUCGGAUGUAUCUAGAUGUGAUUUAGUGUAUAGAUGCAUUCAAAUUUAUUCAAAGUUGAGACAUUGGACGGAGGGAGUAUAAA
rfam:Brachypodium distachyon strain Bd21 chromosome 3, whole genome shotgun sequence.